GUUGGCUCAAGCUUGAUUUGCAAAAUGUUCAUUGAACUCGAGUUAAAACUUUGAGCUAGCUAAAAACUUCACAAACGAGCAGCAGCACACUGUGCUUUGUGGGAAUCUCAGAUCCAAACUUUUGACAAUGUAUUGGGCAAAAAGGGAAAAAAAAUCUUUUAUCUUAUUUCACAAUGCUUCAUGUACUGUUUCGUAUUCAACAGAUCUUCGUUCUCUCCCACUCUCUGUUUCAAUAUCUUUACAAUUGCAUCCCUUCGUAUCCGUGUUUCAUUAUCUCACACAAUUACAGGGUGCAUCCGGAAAAGGUAAAAUGCCAAGUUACUUCAAUGGGAACAGGAACCACCAGGUUCUUUGCUGCCACUAGAAGCCAACUGGUAACUAUUUUCCCAGGUGUCUGCAGGAGCUGCUUGUGCAUGAGGGACAUGGCUAGGAUGCUUCUCUCUC